GGAGGAGUGCCAGAGCGGUUGAAUGGGGCGGUCUCGAAAACCGUUAGAGUCGCAAGGCUCUCGAGGGUUCGAAUCCUUCCUCCUCCGCCA
rnacentral:tRNA from 1 species